GCCAGGCACAGUGGCACAUGCCUGUAAUCCCAGCCACUCUGGAGGCUGAGACAGGAGAAUCGUGAGUUUAAAGCCAGCCUCAGCAAUGGUGAGGCACUAAGCAACUCAAGGAGACCCUGUCUGUA
rnacentral:sRNA from 1 species